rnacentral:rRNA from 1 species
CAUGUCUUUUUGAUAAUGAUUUAAAGUCUGAUCUGCUCAAUGAUUAUUUAAAUUGCCGCAGUAUUUUAACUGUGCAAAGGUAGCAUAAUAAUUAGUUUUUUAAUUGAGAACUGGAAUGAAUGAUUGGACGAGAAAACUACUGUCUCUUAUUAAUUUUAUUUUGAACUUUAUUUUUAAGUUAAAACGCUUAAAUAUUAUUUAUAGACGAGAAGACCCUAUAGAGUUUGAUUUUAUUUUAUUAUUUUUGUAUUUGGUCAUUAAUUGUUUUAUUAAUAAUAUAUAAUUUGAUUGGGGUGAUUGAAAAAUUUAAUUAACUUUUUUAUAUUUAAAUUAUUUAUUUAUAAUUUUGGAUUCUAAUUUUUUUAAGAUUAAUAUAAAUUACCUUAGGGAUAACAGCGUAAUUUUUACUUGAAGUUCUUAUUUUAGUAAAAGAUUGCGACCUCGAUGUUGGAUUAAAAUUUACUUUUGGUGCAGAAGCUAGAAGUGUUAAGUCUGUUCGACUUUUAAAAUUUUACAUGAUCUGAGU